UACGGAGGGGGCUAGCGUUGUUCGGAAUUACUGGGCGUAAAGCGCACGUAGGCGGACUGUUAAGUCGGGGGUGAAAUCCUGGGGCUCAACCUCAGAAUUGCCUCCGAUACUGGCAGUCUCGAGUGCGGGAGAGGUGAGUGGAAUUCCCAGUGUAGAGGUGAAAUUCGUAGAUAUUGGGAAGAACACCAGUGGCGAAGGCGGCUUACUGGCCCGUAACUGACGCUGAGGUGCGAAAGCGUGGGGAGCAAACAGG
rnacentral:rRNA from 1 species